GGUUGAUGAUCUUUUUGAUGUGUUCUUGGAUUCAGUAUGAAAUGACAGGCUGUGAAUUACUUCAAAAUUAAUAGAGACCAGAUUUGGUUGGGGAAGACACCCUGAAAAUCUUGGCUACAAACAUAAUGAAAUAAACCUAGAAAAACUACAAGACAGGGUCUAUUGUGGAUGCCAUCAACCCC